GACGAACGCUGGCGGCGUGCCUAAUACAUGCAAGUAGAACGCAGUUGCGAACGGGUGAGUAAAGCGUAGGUAACUGCCUGGUAGCGGGGGAUAACUAUUGGAAACGAUAGCUAAUAACGCAUACUACCAGAUGGACCUGCGUUGUUUUAGGUAGUUGUUGGGGUAAAGGCUCACCAAGGCAACGAUACAUAGCCUACCUGAGAGGGUGAUCGGCCCAACUGGGACUGGGACAAGGCCCAGACUCCUACGGGAGGCAGCAGUAGGGAAUCUGCGGCAAUGGACGGAAGUCUUGCCGAGCAACGCCGCGUGAGUGAAGAAGGUUUUCGGAUCGUAAAGCUCUGUUGUAAGAGAAGCGGUAUCUUACCAGAAAGGGACGGCUAACUACGUGCCAGCAGCCGCGGUAAUUC
rnacentral:rRNA from 1 species